CCUGAGAAAUAGUGCGAAAACCACCGCGAACCGUAAUUUUUAUGGGUGAGCCUGUCUACUUACUGUAGACGAAAACUGUGUUACCUACCGAAGGAUAGAUUUUAACAUGAGGAGAGAGAAGUGGCACGGUUGUAGCCGCACAAAACCGUGGAUUCAGCGCAUUGUCUCCGGUGAACGUGAGGCCUCGUAUUGUCUACGGAAUGAUCCACCCAUUCAGUGUCCAGCUGAUUAGGCAGCCGCCUAAUGAAUAACGCGGCUGACCGUGUACAUAUGAUUUUUAUUAUUACGUAACUGAAGCUGGCUAGCGACUCCAACCGGAUGCCCUACAGCUGGGCAAGUCAGUCAAAAAGUUGCAGCCAGCAACCAGUAUGCAGUGCCGGCGGCAGACCGGAAGUCAUCGAUUAUCACAUGCAUAUAUAUUCCAAAUUGCUGUAAUAUGGACGCAAGUACUUGUACAAUACAUCAGGACCAGAAGACUGCCUGGUUAACGACAUUGUUAUCACAUCCGAGACAGCUGCUGCCGAAGUUACCGGGGAUGCCCCCAACAUUUGAAUAAGGAUGAAGAAACUUUACGACCUUUGCGCAAUAUAUGGAAAAACUAUUAUACAUAAUUAUGUCGUCCAAGCGGCUCUGUUAUACCAGCAUGAUCGCUUAAAGGUUUUCUUGGUUUUGGUGCUCUGCUUUCAGUGUAGAAGAAGUUUACUAUCAGGAUCAAAAUUUAACCCUGAGAUGUACAUACUUUUUUUCAAAUAUACCCUCGUCAAAAAGUAUUUUCUAAAGUACAUCAAAAUGAUCGAACACCUCCGCAAUCUAUCACAAAAUAUAUCCCCGGCAUAGUUUUGGCAGCCGAGUAGAAAUCACGUUUUACAUCAACAUCAAAAUUUGUAUCUAAGUUAGCCGUCUAUGUUGGCGAUAGCAAAAGCAAAAUUUUAUUUUCUUAACCAAUAUGAAAUUAUCACCGUUCGAUGCAAAUAACAAUGUUAAGGUAAUUAAUCUAAAGCGAAAGCUUUGUCGGUCGACCGACAUUGGUCGCCUCGCCACAUAACCUAAAAAGCAAUUUCGAUCCAUGUGUGGCCGUUAUAGAGUAUCAAAGUUUUUCUGCAAACCUUGUUACGUAAUCAGUUAUGAAACACAUAGUUUCUGUGCAAGAACAAGAAGAUCGGUCGACCGACAAGAAUUAUUACCUCCAAAGCUAAAGUCGCAGAAGUCGCAAAAACGAAAAAGCAAAAGUCUUUUGAAGCAAACUGCGCCAAAUUAACUAGUUGGAAGCAAAGCUUUAACGACAAAGUUUAAAGAAGUACGCGAAACUGCACACGCGGUGACUGCAAUACUUUUGCUGCAGACUACGCUAACUACAGGCCACUUUUAUGCUGCUUCUGAUUGGCUGUAAGGCAAUUUCAAUGUUCAACCCCAGAUCACGUUCAGCGCCGUUGCGCUCAAAUUGAUUUCGACAGCCAGUUUUAGUAACGGCGAUUUUCGACUUUCUCGCAGUCUUACCACGGUGUUUCCAGGCGAUUUGUGAUUUUGUUUUGAUCUCUACGAUUUUUUGGUUUUAUGGCUGUCGACAGCCAAAUUAGAUUUUAAAACGUUAAUGGUCAAUGCAAGCACUGGAAGUAUUGCUGUUUUGUGCGUGGAGCUUGUCAGGCACGGCAAGUUAUGAAAGCAGGUGCAGCACUUAACCCAGUCUGCACUGAUGUGAGGACCCACACCAAUGUUGGAGAAGUCCUAAGAUCCUUAUAAAGCACUGCGUCGCUGGACGAUUGUGCAUGACGACAUGCAGUAAAGCAACAGGGCAGAUGAAUUAUUGCUCUAUGCAGCUCCAUGGCCGGAACGCAAAUUUAGCGGGAAAUGCGUGGAUGUCGACAUCCAUCAUUGUACUUGUUAUCCUGGUUUUAAUUAGCUGUUGAUGCAUUUAGUAGCCGCUUUUGCUGUCCAUGCUGGCAUUUUGGAAUUUUUAGCACUCUGUCAGUUCACCGUUUACGCUCCUGACGCAUUAUCCAGUUUGAUUUUUUGGUCUGGAUUUUUUGGUCUGGUUGGUGUUUUCAUGAGAAAGUAUGUCUCGGAUGUUGGUUUUUUUAUGUAGUACCAGUUAUGUGGUAUAUGUCGAAAUAAAUACAAAAUGAUGUUCUAUAUCCAUAUCUAAAUGUUUCAUAUUCGUAAGUAUUAUAAAACAAGGAGAUCAUCUGUAAUAUCUAAGUCUAAUUCAAAAGUUACCAUUAAAGUAUAUGGUUUUUCUGACGAGGGAUACAAAAAAUAGUGCUCGCAUAACGAAGUGCAGGUAAGUGAUAACGUACAGAUAGAGUGAUGCAGGAUGUAAAUUUUUCAUCAUUUGUCUUUGAUUUCGCACCGUUUUAUAGAAUAUGGUACGGUGGUCGCACACU